rnacentral:rRNA from 1 species
GGGUUGUGAGGUUAAGCGACUAAGCGUACACGGUGGAUGCCCUGGCAGUCAGAGGCGAUGAAGGACGUGCUAAUCUGCGAUAAGCGUCGGUAAGGUGAUAUGAACCGUUAUAACCGGCGAUUUCCGAAUGGGGAAACCCAGUGUGUUUCGACACACUAUCAUUAACUGAAUCCAUAGGUUAAUGAGGCGAACCGGGGGAACUGAAACAUCUAAGUACCCCGAGGAAAAGAAAUCAACCGAGAUUCCCCCAGUAGCGGCGAGCGAACGGGGAGCAGCCCAGAGCCUGAAUCAGUGUGUGUGUUAGUGGAAGCGUCUGGAAAGGCGCGCGAUACAGGGUGACAGCCCCGUACACAAAAAUGCACAUAUUGUGAGCUCGAUGAGUAGGGCGGGACACGUGGUAUCCUGUCUGAAUAUGGGGGGACCAUCCUCCAAGGCUAAAUACUCCUGACUGACCGAUAGUGAACCAGUACCGUGAGGGAAAGGCGAAAAGAACCCCGGCGAGGGGAGUGAAAAAGAACCUGAAACCGUGUACGUACAAGCAGUGGGAGCACGCUUAGGCGUGUGACUGCGUACCUUUUGUAUAAUGGGUCAGCGACUUAUAUUCUGUAGCAAGGUUAACCGAAUAGGGGAGCCGAAGGGAAACCGAGUCUUAACUGGGCGUUAAGUUGCAGGGUAUAGACCCGAAACCCGGUGAUCUAGCCAUGGGCAGGUUGAAGGUUGGGUAACACUAACUGGAGGACCGAACCGACUAAUGUUGAAAAAUUAGCGGAUGACUUGUGGCUGGGGGUGAAAGGCCAAUCAAACCGGGAGAUAGCUGGUUCUCCCCGAAAGCUAUUUAGGUAGCGCCUCGUGAAUUCAUCUCCGGGGGUAGAGCACUGUUUCGGCAAGGGGGUCAUCCCGACUUACCAACCCGAUGCAAACUGCGAAUACCGGAGAAUGUUAUCACGGGAGACACACGGCGGGUGCUAACGUCCGUCGUGAAGAGGGAAACAACCCAGACCGCCAGCUAAGGUCCCAAAGUCAUGGUUAAGUGGGAAACGAUGUGGGAAGGCCCAGACAGCCAGGAUGUUGGCUUAGAAGCAGCCAUCAUUUAAAGAAAGCGUAAUAGCUCACUGGUCGAGUCGGCCUGCGCGGAAGAUGUAACGGGGCUAAACCAUG